rnacentral:rRNA from 1 species
GACGAACGCUGGCGGCGUGCUUAACACAUGCAAGUCGAACGGAAAGGCCCUGCUUUUGUGGGGUGCUCGAGUGGCGAACGGGUGAGUAACACGUGAGUAACCUGCCCUUGACUUUGGGAUAACUUCAGGAAACUGGGGCUAAUACCGGAUAGGAGCUCCUGCUGCAUGGUGGGGGUUGGAAAGUUUCGGCGGUUGGGGAUGGACUCGCGGCUUAUCAGCUUGUUGGUGGGGUAGUGGCUUACCAAGGCUUUGACGGGUAGCCGGCCUGGGAGGGUGACCGGCCACAUUGGGACGGGGAUGCGGCCCAGACUCCAACGGGAGGCGGCGGUGGGGAAUAUUGCACAAUGGGCGGAAGCCUGAUGCAGCAACGCCGCGUGCGGGAUGACGGCCUUCGGGUUGUAAACCGCUUUCGCCUGUGACGAAGCGUGAGUGACGGUAAUGGGUAAAGAAGCACCGGCUAACUACGUG